rnacentral:lncRNA from 1 species
CGAUGCCCAUUUAACAAGCAAUUAAAAUUCUAAAGAGACAAUAUAUAUGGCUCUAUUCCAAUAGCCAAAAUGAUUGCAGUUUCAAUUUGUGUAACUUCUAAUUAAUUAUCUACUCUCCUCAGCUUUACUUGCUGUUUCUUGCUUUCUCUUUCUUGAUCAGUUUCAGAAAUCAUGCAAUGAAAGGAAUAGGAAACACAAUCAAUUAUUGCAAAAAGAAUUGAAUCUCAGAAUUUUCUCCAUUCACCAAGCUUCAGGUAAUGAAACUGAACAAUUGCAUUAUUUUCUAAAUGGUUCAUUAUGGUUAUUAUUCUGAAAUAGUUUCUUGAAUUUAAUCGACUAGAUUUCUGUACAUUUUUCAAAAUUUCUGCGCUAGCAGCAGCUUUCUCAACAAGUCCGUAGCUGAUAAUCAACACACAGAGAGCAAAGGUAUAUAUGUCUGUUAUGCACAUUUAUUUCAGUUCUUUAUUUUGUUUAAUCUUUUUUCUUAGUUCUAGGUGAAGAAAAAGUUAAUCCAAGUGGAAUCUAAUUCUGGAUAACUCUAUUAUCUGCCUCGUGAUGCAAUGAAGCAUGGAGAAGUUGAUUAACAUUUUAGAACUCGUUGAAUCAGAUUUGAAUAUUAAGAAUUGGACACAAUAUAGAAUAAAAUCUCUCAAUAUUUUAUUUCAUAAGAAUUAUCAACAGAAAAAACUUAUCCCAGUUACUAUGAUAUUGAAGGGAAUAUAUGAAAUAUUAACGUUCUUUAAUCUUUCCUGGAGUUUUUUCCCACU